CAGCCGCCACGGUAAUACGUAGGGUGCGAGCGUUAAUCGGAAUUAUUGGGCGUAAAGGGAGCGCAGGCGGACAUAUAAGUCCAUCUUAAAAGUGCGGGGCUCAACCCCGUGAGGGGAUGGAAACUGCCAAUCUAGAGUAUCGGAGAGGAAAGUGGAAUUCCUAGUGUAGCGGUGAAAUGCGUAGAUAUUAGGAAGAACACCAGUGGCGAAGGCGACUUUCUGGACGAAAACUGACGCUGAGGCGCGAAAGCCAGGGGAGCGAACGGGAUUAGAUACCCCCGUAGUCCUGUCUCUUAUACAC
rnacentral:rRNA from 1 species